rnacentral:sRNA from 1 species
AAGCGUCUGCGGAGCUGCCGGGCCUUAUAUUGCCUUGAACCAAUGCUCCUAGAGCACGGGCUUGGUACAUUGCCCGGCGGGCGUGAUCAUCUCGCGUCAGAUGAACCCAACGCCAGGCUGCCCUCGCCCACCUGAACCCCCGGUUCAGGUUGCCGGUCCGGUGGCAUCCGCAGACACCUC